UAAGUUUGAUUUCAACAAAUAUCUGCAACUUAACCAUAUAGUAUUUAACUCUAUGAUGAAAACAAGUUGUCAAGGUCUGGAAAUUAUUUAAAAUUGAGAGUUUAACAAAUCUACAAUUUGCAGUUAAUGUCUUCUCUGUAAUUUUGACACUUUACAGUCAUCCCGUGGGCUGCACUGGACCCACAGGCUGCGUGUUUGACACCCCUGACCUAAACUAACCAUCGAUAAACUAAAAUAAUGACAGAUUCAGCAACUGCACACUUAUUUCUUGCCUCAAAUGUUUUCAGACACACGUCGUUUAACUGUUUUCAUAAUAUAACAGAAAGUUUUUGAGUAAAUGUUAGAAGAAAAUUGAGUGUUCACAUGAUCAUAUAUCUCUGUGCUAAGUUUCAGUAGUUUUCUACUUGCCUGUACACUCGCAAGAAUGUAUGUUGUAACCACAUUGCCACACAUGCAGCUUACAGUCACAACACACAUACACCUCACCUGCUAAACAUUCUCAUUCUCACGAGAAAAUUCUUCUUCUCACACCACACAUAUGUUUUGUCUCAGAGCGUGGGACCGCCCCACCCUCUGCUUUUUUGUAACCUAUGCUUUAUUAUAAAUAAAGGGAUAAGGAACUGCUCGGCGCGUCUCUGCCUCAGAACGUGAGCUGAGCAGGGUGCCCUUGUACAAGAAAUCUCUUUGUCUGUGUUUGAUCUGUUUCUCUCCUCUCAGUUCUGUGAUCCAGGUUGGAGUCAGCCCGCUGGAGGCGGUAAUCCUCUAACAGUAAGCCACCAUGUUGGUCCAAAACCUGUACACGACUGGUUUCUGAUGAAGCCAAAAGAAGCUCCUACCUCUGGGUGGCCCGAGGGAGUCCUGCCCGCUGGGUGAGCCUCUGACUGCAGCAGUCCACCAGCCUCUUGAGAAUAUACAGGCAUUCCCUGAAGGUGGAGAAGAAGGGGUAGUGGCUGAGGAUGCACAGCGACGUCAGGGUGCUGUUGCGGUUCCGGGCUGCCAUCUUGGCGGUGCUCCGUCUGUGCUGUGGAGAUUUUCCGGCAUUCUGUUCAGCAGCUGGUUUUUCUCCUUCCUCUCCGGAGGACGGUGGAGGAGCUGACUCUGCGUUGUUGGGAGGAGCUAACGUUGAGGUCGGACCGCCGUCUUCCGAAGCCUCGGUCGCCGUCUCCACCGGCGGUGCUGCCGACUCCGCGUCUCUGCUCUUGUCCCCUCGGCUGCGGUGGUGUCCUCGCUGGAAGGACCGGUAGAAGUUGACGCAGAUCCCGUAGCGGGUGAUUCCUGAGUCCUUGUCGGUGAGCGUGAACACGAAGGACGAGUCGUCACGGAGGCUGACGCGGCGCUGGCGGAUGCUCAGGCAGCCCUCCGGCUGGCAGAAGAAGACCACGUCCGGAGGCAGCGGGAAGUCGUGGUGGUCCUCCAGAGGGUAGCGACGGAGGAGCUGAGGGGUCUGAGCCACGCUGUCACUGCUGGGUUGCCUGGAGACGAGACGGACAAACAUUUAUUCUGUUUCUGAAGAAGGAACUCCAGCUGUAUUAGUUGUGUUAAAGUUUAUUGACUGAACACAAAAACUCAUCAUGGAACAAUGUGUAUACAGCACCUUUUAACCCCCGUGUCGUCCUACAUGUUAAAAUUUACCCAAUUUAAAGUUUGAAAAUGUGGAAAAAAAUAUAUAUUUUCACAGUGAAACUUCUGAUAUCCACAUGUUCAACAUUUUGGGGAAAUUUUUGAACAUUUUUUAGUGGAAAAAAUGAAUGUUAAAAAUGUUUCUUAAGAACAUUCACAAAAAAAAUCAAUUUUUUAAAAAAUGUUCUUAAAGAAAAUCUUAGAAGUUUUACUGGUAUAUAUGGAAUCACUUUAGAUAUUUUUAGGAUUUUUUGGGAAGAGUUUUAGUUAUUUUUUGAAAAUAUUUACAACUAUUUUCUUGCCAAAUUUGGGGGAUUUUUAUAAAAAAAUAAAAUUUUUAAGGGAAACUUUUAAGGAAUUAUUGGAAUUUUCUUCCUGAAGGUUUUGCAAAUUUUCAGAAAUUUGGGGAAUUUUUUUGCUGAAUUUUUGGAUUUUUUUCAGACAUAGAAACAAUAUUUUUUGGUGCCUGUAAAUGAGGACAACAGGAGGGUUAAGUACAGAGUUUACAAAGUGUUUGGACAGACCAGCCCAAAAAGGAGGAUCCUCAAGAAGACAAUAUUAUAAUAGAAAGCUCGACUAGUUAAACAAAACAAACAAAAAAAAAUACAGAUCAGAGAAGCCAAAAGGAAGGAAAGAGUAUAACAUGGUAAAAGAAAUUCAAAAUGAGGAUUUUCAAUAUCAACAAAUUAACAGAACAAACCCUAAUUUAUACAAAGAACACAAUAAUAGCACCAAAAUGCAAUCGCACAAUAAAGUAAAUACAUUAAAUAUUAAAAAUAAGGAUACAGAGGAUGAGAGCAAAUUAGAGAAAAUGUAAAGAAAAAUAGGAAAAGCAGGGGUAAAAUGUUUUUAAAAACGGAAUUUAGCAUAAAAUGGAUGAAAGUAGUAGUAGUUUUUUUUUAACAGUUUCUGGGUUCAAAAAUUCUGUAAUUUUGGCAGUUUUUACACUUUUACUUUCCAUUUUCUUUUAUUUUGCUCAUCUGGAACAUCUAUAUUUUCCUUUAUUUUCAUGUGCUGUGGCAUUUUUGGUUCUUUUAGCAUUUUAUUCUAUCAGUUAGGAUUUGUUUCCUUGAUAUAUUCAUUUUGAAAUUUUUUUUGUAUUUCUUUUACCGUGUUUAAAUAUAUUUCUCCACUUUUUGUUUCUUGGGUCAAUUUUUCUUUCUGUUUGGCAAGACUUUCCUCUGUAUCCUCUUUUACUUCACUGGUCUGUCAAAACAUUUUGGAAAUACUAUUUUAAAAGCCUUUGUACAGGAGGUAUGAAUAAAGUUAUUAUUAUUUUCAACGUUU